CAAUGCGCGAAAGCAUGACAGGGGAAGUCUGAGUGGCGGAAAUUUAGUUUCCGUCUUUUGCCAAGUGUAAACAGCUUGGAGAAUAAGGGUGUGGGCAAGACUGGUGGCAGCCGCCGCGGUAACACCAGCGCCUCGAGUGGUACCCACGAAUAUUGGGCCUAAAGCGUCCGUAGCUGGACCUCUAAGUCCGCUGUGAAAUGUUGGAGCUCAACUCUAACGCGUGCAGUGGAUACUGUUGGUCUUGGGAACGGGGGAGGGUCGGGGUACUUCCAGGGUAGGGGUAAAAUCCGUUGAGCCUGGAAGGACCACCAGUGGCGAAGGCGCCGAUCCAAAACGUGUCCGACGGUGAGGGACGAAAGCUGGGGGAGCGAACGGGAUUAGAUACCCCGGUAGUCCCAGCUGUAAAUGAUGCAGACUGUGGUGUUACUUCUGAGUAAUCAUGUGUAGGUGAAGUAGGGUAGGAGAUAAAUUUCCCGCCUGGGGAGUACGAUCGCAAGAUUUAAACUUAAAGGAAAAGGCGGGCGCGCACAAG
rnacentral:rRNA from 1 species